UGGGGAAUAUUGCACAAUGGGCGCAAGCCUGAUGCAGCCAUGCCGCGUGUGUGAAGAAGGCCUUCGGUUGUAAAGCACUUUCAGCGAGGAGGAAGGUGGUGAGCUUAAUACGCUCAUCAAUUGACGUUACUCGCAGAAGAAGCACCGGCUAACUCCGUGCCAGCAGCCGCGGUAAUACGGAGGGUGCAAGCGUUAAUCGGAAUUACUGGGCGUAAAGCGCACGCAGGCGGUUUGUUAAGUCAGAUGUGAAAUCCCCGGGCUCAACCUGGGAACUGCAUUUGAAACUGGCAAGCUAGAGUCUCGUAGAGGGGGGUAGAAUUCCAGGUGUAGCGGUGAAAUGCGUAGAGAUCUGGAGGAAUACCGGUGGCGAAGGCGGCCCCCUGGACGAAGACUGACGCUCAGGUGCGAAAAGCGUGGGGCAGCAAACAGGAUUAGAUACCCUGGUAGUCCACGCUGUAAAACGAUGUCGAUUUUGGAGGUUGUGCCCUUGAGGCGUGGCUUCCGGAGCUAACGCGUUAAAUCGACCGCCUGGGGAGUACGGCCGCAAGGUUAAAACUUAAAGGAAUUGACGGGGUC
rnacentral:rRNA from 1 species